UUCCCUUAGUAACUGCGAGUGAAGAGGGAAAAGCUCAAAUUUAAAAUCUGGCAGCGCUUCGCUGUCCGAGUUGUAACCUAGAGAAGUGUAACCUGUGCUGGACCGUGUACAAGUCUCCUGGAAUGGAGCAUCAUAGAGGGUGAGAAUCCCGUCUUUGACAUGGACUACCAGUGCAUUGUGGUUGCGCUCUCAACGAGUCGAGUUGUUUGGGAAUGCAGCUCUAAAUGGGUGGUAAAUUCCAUCUAAAGCUAAAUAUUGGCGAGAGACCGAUAGCGAACAAGUACCGUGAGGGAAAGAUGAAAAGAACUUUGGAAAGAGAGUUAAACAGUAUGUGAAAUUGUUGAAAGGGAAACGUUUGAAGUCAGUCGCGUUGGUUGGGGAUCAGCCUGACAUUGUUGGGUGUACUUCCUGGUCGACGGGCCAACAUCAGUUUUGACUGCCAGAAAAAGGCCAGAGGAAUGUGGCACCCUUGGGUGUGUUAUAGCCUUUGGUCGUAUAUGGUGGUUGGGACUGAGGAAAGCAGCGCGCCGAAAGGCCGGGUUUCGACCACGUUCACGCUGAGGAUGUUGGCAUAAUGGCUUUAAGCGACCCGUCUUGAAACACGGACCAAGGAGUCUAACAUGCAUGCGAGUGUUUGGGUGGAAAACCCUUACGCGUAAUGAAAGUGAAAGUUGAGAUCCCUGUCGCGGGGAGCAUCGACGCCCGGACCAGAACUUUUGGGACGGAUCUGCGGUAGAGCACGUAUGUUGGGACCCGAAAGAUGGUGAACUAUGCCUGAAUAGGGUGAAGCCAGAGGAAACUCUGGUGGAGGCUCGUAGCGAUUCUGACGUGCAAAUCGAUCGUCAAAUUUGGGUAUAGGGGCGAAA
rnacentral:rRNA from 1 species